AAGCUGAUGAUCCAGCAGUGUUGCGAGGAUGGCUUUAUGGGCAGCCCAGGGCCUGCAGGGAAAUGGCUGCCAUGAGGAAGAAAUCUAGGGAAGCUGAGUGCUGCUGGAAUCUGAGUGGUGACUCUGAACCCCUAAGCUUUAUCCAGGGAUUUCUCAGCAUCGCCUGCCUGGUUUACUAAGGGAGAGGGUGGUGACGAGGCAGUAGCCGUGAGGCAAGGCAAGCAUUGGGGAUGUUGUGAGCAGGACAUGGGAGAGCAGCGAUGCCAGACUGAGCGCGCUAAGCAGAUGAGUGUCGUGGGGAAAGGUAUGUGAUGGUGUAAUAGCUGUCCAUGUCAUGGAAGGCUGGAUGGCUACAAGCAAUGAAAUUUGAAAUCAAUCCCAAAUCCUGCCGAGUCCAGGAGACCUUCACACCCAUGAAGGCACCACUGCUGAGUCAGGCCAAUGGCUGCGUGCACACCCAAGAAAUACACACGUGCUGAUAGAAAACAGAUUUAAAAGUACCUAAAAUAAUAGCUUUUUAAGACAGUCUUACGAUCACAUAACUUGUUGGAAAAAGCAUACCAUGGCUCACAAUCUGAAUUAAACAUUGUCAUUGUGGUAUAGAAGAAGGUGCAUGCUCAGGAGUUGCUAUCUGACUGAGUUGCUGAAGACAGCGAGUCACUGACAGAGGAGUAGGAAUUAUCAAAAGAGAAGUGUCUGCCACCCUGUUUCUUUUGUGCUAACCACCAACAGCUGGAGACCAGGCCAAAGAGAGGCAAGAGAAGCACGUCUCAAGGAAGCAUGUGCUUAAGCACGAAGAUGAACAAAGCUUCCAGGGCUAUUCAAAUCAGCUCUGGCUAUACCAAGUCCAUGCCUAUCCAUUAUACUUUCCAUAUAUUUUAAUAAAUUCAAAGAGAGCUGCUGAGAUUAAAGGGAAGAGCUUUGUGGUGGACAACUCGAAAUGAACAGGCUCUUCCUGCUGUGCAAGGCAGCGACUUGCUGAAGAUGGAGCCUGCACAUCAAAGGAGAGGAUCAUAAGGAUUCUGCCAGGUUUUAAUGCAACAUACCGGCUAUUUUGACUUGAGCUGACCCUACCUCGAUUUGUUGUGUUCCUUCCUUAUCUGCCCAUUCUAAUGGAAGUCUGCCACACAUCAUGGAUGCAAAGUGUGGAGCAUCAGAUGUUCACAGCUUCCCAUUGUGAAGUGAAGGUGUUGGGACCACUUUGUCUUCAGGACUGGACCAACGCUUUAACUACAAGAAAGUGUCAGAUAUGCGGGAUGAUGAUGCAUGGAAAGAAGAAAAACAUUCCUGAGUCAUCCUGUUUCCUGAGCAUAAGGAGGCACAAGAUAAUUAAAGGAUCCAUAUGGAUUUCCAAAUGAAAAAGUUGGAGCUCCUGUUUAAAACUUGAACUCCAGCUCGGCAUGAAGGCAUCAGAUGUGCUUCCACUUGAAAAAGCGUUGUUGUACCAGCAUAUAUCCCGCCUGAAUUUUUCUCCUGGGUAAAAUCUUAUAAAUGUGUGUAUCGUGCAUAAUGAGGAUUGGAGGUUAGCCGCUUCCAGUGAAUUCCCUUUCAAAGUGUAAGGAAGAUGCAGAGCAGCAAGGAGGAGAAAUCCAUUGGUAUUUGAGCUCUGUAGGAUGAAGAGGUUUGCUGCUGGGGGAAGAUCAAGAGGAGGCAGUAGGAAUAUUUUGGGCACUUCUGAAGGAGAGAUGGAGACCAUCUGGUAGAGAGGAUGCUUAAAGGAAAAGUGCCAGGACAGAGAUAAAAGUAAAGGGAAAGGAAAUAGUGACUGAGUAACAUCAAAGAGUGAGGCUGACUAUAGAGCAAAAAGGAAGACAUAGCAGUGACCCAACAUAGGCAAAUCAUAAUACAAAUGGUGGCACUGGGCGACGAAUCCAUAUGAAUCGGUGAAGGCUCGGGGGAAAAGCUCAGCAUUUUAAUUUCAGGAAAGUCUACAGGAAAGUGGUGUUGACAUCUUUGGAAGGCUUAUAAUUUAAAACUGAUGCAGUAAGCAGGGUUCCCGCUGCUUCAGAAAUACUGUCCUGGAGUCUAAUCCAGAUACUGUAACUACAGCAGAAUUUUAAAUGGAGAGAUGCCAAGAAGAAUGUUUCUUCCCUCAUCGGCAUCAGCAUCUUUUCAUUUGAAUGACUUUUAGGGCAUUAGAUGUUUCCGUUGAACUGCUUUCUAAGGCUCGUGUCCUGAAGCAUUGGUUGGUGUGUGGUCCUUCCCUGUGUUGAGCUGGAGCCGAUCUCAUGUAAAGAAAGGAAGAUGCUGGUUUUGCUUUUCUCCUGCUGAAGGAGAAUAACUUUGGGCCAGUCCCUUUCUCCUGCCAAAGUCUGAAAAACUUUUCUGUCAUUGGAAUUCCACUGAGAGUGGAGCAGUGGUAAGCCCCGUGGCUUCUAUGGGUAGAGCAGUACAGGCUAAGAGAGUCUGAUCAUCUCUUGUGCUUUGUUUUACGCCCAACCCUAAACAUGGUGAGUCAGGACAGGCGAUGGGCCUAAUUAUAAAGACUGUCUGUGCUCCUGCCUCUCUUACUCCUUCCCAUCUGUAUUUAGGAGGACUUUCUGCAUCCUAGGGGAACCGUGCUUUAGGAGGAUUUGAGAUCAAGGCCUGAAAUAAUCUCAUGGUUUUCUUCCUGCCUGCCUUUCUUUCCUUCUUAACAAAACAGGUGUGUUACUUUUUUUACUGAAGUCGGUCCAAGGAAAGGAAAAGAAGAAAGUACUUCCAGAGGGUAAUUAGUCCCAUCUUAAAACAAGUGUGUAAGACAGGUAGGAUAAGUCUCUCUCUGAAAGUGCCAAUCUGUCACCACUAUCUAUAGAAGGAGCCUUCACGAGUAGCUUAGAGUAGGUGUUUGACUUUUACACAGUUAAAUUUAGAGGAGAUGAUUGCCACUUUUUAAGUCAGUCAAAGUGCUUGUUUAUAAUUGAUUAACCAUUAUAGACUGAAGAGUUGUGAGAGAGAACAAAAGUAAAAAUAUAAUGCCAUUGAUAGAGAUAUCGUGUAAUACGGAAUAGCAGUAACAGCAAUUGCAGAUGGUUAACAUUUUCAUUCCCCAUUGUUUUUAUUUUACUGUUAAAUCUUCCCAGAUUUUAGGUCUUGUUUGAUCCUGUAGAAGGAAAAAAUUUCCCCUGCUUUAGUGUAAGCAAAAAACUGCUGAAAUAUUUGUAGGAUUAAGAAGUGAUUUGUCCUGGAAAUGUCAAUUCUUAUAUGUAGGGUCAUUAAUCCAUAAAAUGAAUUUGCAAACAUUUCUAAGUUCCCUUUCGUGUUGUUGGUGUUUUACUUGACAUGCUUCUGACUGCUCUCUCAAUGAAGGCUGCACUCAGAAGAUCCUGCAAGGCGUACACUGACAGUGUGUGGGACUUGGUUUUGCAUGUGUCUUGACCUGGCAUAUACAGUCUGUUACAAUGAAAUAAACUCACUUGUCAUUUAAGAGUAUUAAUCAUAUUUCAGGCUGUUGCCCAAGAAUUUCAUUGUGUACAAUGCUUUCACCAGCCAGAACCAUACUGCAGAAAGUAAAUAGAUAAAAUCACUUUCUCUAGUAAAAAUAAUUCUUGACUACAGCCUCGCUUGCAGAGUAGAUAAUGCUUGUAGAAAUGGCAGAUGCUCUGAAGGUUUGGAGUAUUGUGACAAUAAGAAUUUUAAACAAAGUUGGAAAAAGCAGAUGGUAUAUAUGGACGGGAAAUCCUGUGGUAGUUUUGAUUUUAUGCAAGGAAAAGAAGGAGUUCCUUAGGUCCAUAAAUCUGUUUGUUUGCAGUACUCAAACAGAGAUUUUCAUGAUCUUAGCUUUCCUUUCUUCAAAACGUUGCUUUCAAGUACAGAUGGGCCUAUAUACCACAAGUUUGGGAUCCAGAUUGGGGCUUGGACCUGACAUUCAUCAGAGCAUAAGCAUAUUUGAACCUAGCAUUUGAGGUCAGCCUCUUGUGGAGUUAACCACCUACUGAUUGAGUAGAUCUCUCCUAUAUGUCAAGGCAUAGGUGUAGAAAGUACAAUGAUUUUAUUUAACUUGAUCUGUAAGGUAUUUAAAUUUAAUUUGGAAGACUUCUCAUGAAGCAGGAGGCUGUAUUUAUAAUUAUUAUUGUGUCUGAAGGGUGAAAUUACAUAUGACAAUUAAAUAUGGUGGAUAUUAUAAUAAGAUACAUGCUUAAAGUGGUUUCCAAUCUAAAUGUGUUUGAAGUCAAUAGGAGUACCUACGGCAAAGUAUUCGGAUCCUGAUUUAUAAUCUACCACUUUUACCCCAGUAUGGUUAUUUAUGGAUAAAUUGACCUGUUCCUAGAAUAGAAUAUGAUAUGUUAGUAAAACUGUACGCCUAGGUGUGGAAAGACAAUUAGCCUAUAAACACACUGACUUCCUCUUUAGGUUGAGAACACCUCAUAUUUCCAAGACUAAUGGUUUCUAAUCUGUUUUUAAAUGUUCCAUUUGGAUAGUGAAGGCGUAACUAUCAAAACACUGUAAAAUCAUAAUGCCUGUGCAGCUAUAAAUUACUGUUUUCAAAAUGAGCUGGAGGUCUCCAACUUAUUCCCAAGUGCAGAAAAGUUAGAUAACAUAAAACUGCUCAGAAAUGACUAGAAGCAACUUUUCUGGCUUUUUCCAAAUGCUAGGAAAUCGUGGAUCUGCCCACUAACUCCCUAGCAAUGCCCAUAUGGAUAGCAAUAAAGCUAGUCCCAUAAAGAAUACUUGAAUUGAUCAAAAGCAUUUCAGAUUAGAGAUCAACAGAAAGAGCUGCGUUGCUUUUUGUUUGUUUGUUUAUUUAUUUAUAUUCUGGAAAUUUCUCUGAUACAAAAAAUAUCUGACUUAUUUUUCAUUCAUCAAAUUGUGGACUGCUUCAUAUGAGAUACGAACUGCAUGACCUGCUGAUGGCGAAGUGCUGCUUCCAUGGAAGAUGCAGCUUUAAACAAUAAGAGAAAGCAUCAACCCUCUCCUGCCAUAUUUUGAACUUUGGAGUGUGCACAAGGAUGGAAAAAUACAGAAGGAUGGAAAAACACAAGGAGUGGUGGGACACAAUGCAAAGUGAGUCUGAGCUGCCUUUAACUUCAGCCUUUGCACUGUGCCAAUACACCAGGAAGAUGCAGUUUAUUCUACCAGGAAUGCUGAUAUUGCAAACACCUAUUUAAACACAGAAGUGUUGGAGGUUUGAACAUCUUUUAUGAAUACUACACCACUGUUUUAAGAAAAGACAAAUACAAGGAGGGAGAAAACAGAACCUCUGGGAUUUUUCUUUUUCCCUACAAAGUGCUAUGGGUGAAGGCUGUGGAGAAAAAUCUUCCCUGCCAGAAGCUGUGUACAGCAUGGGUUUCCCCAGUUCAGAUUUGAACCUCCCACCAGUCGUGUGACCUUCGGGCUGUGGGUAUUGUUGAAGGUAUACCGCUAUAAUCUCAGAUUUUUUUAUGUACCUGCACCUUCGCUUCUGCCAGAAUUACUUGCUGCAUUCAUCUAGCUGCAGAGAGACUCUGCUGAAGGAAAGAUUGCACGCAAGGACCUCAAUUCAAUGCCAGGGUAUUAUCUGGCUCAGCUUGGCACAGUUCAAGUGCACAACUGCAACCUUUUCCAUGACCCAAAAGUCAAUGCCACUCCGUGGGCUGGCAGUUUGCAAAUAAAACAGCAUGCUGCAUAGAUUUGAGAGAAGAAGAAAAAGGAAGAUUAGAAACAAAGAAGUUUGUCUGCGAGGCUUUUACUGAAUCUUAGCCAAAGGUACGAGUCUUUUAACGAAGAAAUACAGCUUCUACAGACUUGCUUUCUCUUCUUCAGUAUAAAUUUUGAUGUAUAAAUAACGUUCCUACGGAGACCUGGUCAUCUGCUGGUAUUGAUCACCUGCCUCCCUGUCCUCCAAGGUCUGAUUCAGUCAUAGCCUGAAACAAAUGUCAGCACCUUUACUGGAAAAUGUAGUAAACAGUGGAUUAGACAAACGAGAGGGCUGGAAAUGGGUCUGCUUCAAGUCUUACCGCAUACCUUGUGGAGUGAUGUCUGGAGAUGGUGGAGUCCUAGGGAGAAGUGUUCACCUGCUUGUUGAUUCACUGCCGGCUGUGUUCCCUGACUGCAAUCAGAGCACAUUUUCCCCUUCAGAAGUUUAGAAUCAAGGAGAAGGUAAACACAUGCCAAAUCUUGCAGUGAUGUUGGCCCGCUCCCAAAGUUGCAACAUAAUGAAGAAAACGUUCAGUUUAGAACUCUGUGCCCCUUUUUUACAACAUUCCUUAAGUUACUCAUGACAGAUGCAACUUUCCUGGCUCCAGAGGCUGAAACCAAGAUUCUGAGCUGUUAUCCUCAAGGAUAUUGCAUGAGCAAGCCCUCUCUACCAUGGCAUUACUGCUUCAUCCCAGGAAUAAUUCACCUGAUGCACCCUGAGACCAUGCUGCCUUUUUCACAGGGUAAUGUUAAUGGCUAAAAUGAUCAGAUGGGAUGUGACCUUCGGCUGCCCUGGGCAGAUUCUCCUGUGAGUCAGUGGUGGAUUUGGUUUCUACAGAGCUCAGCGACCUGCACCAGUCAAUGCUGGGGACUUCUCAAAGAAAUGGUUCCAAAUUCUCCCAGUGUUGAGUUAGCAUACUCCAAGAGGAACCCACCAGUUACAGAGGGCUUUGUAUUACUGGUCCAGGAGCAAUUUCAGUGUCAAAAUUGCCCCAGGAACUUUGGGAAUAGUUGGGCAAAAUGAUGGUCACAUCUGCCACCUCUCAUGAUGUUCCAGUUGUUUACUUAUUAGUGAGUGAGUAGCAUGUGGGGCUGCAGGAGCCCACAGGCAUCCACUUCCAAAUCCUCGGAGUUGCUGCAGUGCACAGCUCUUGCUCUUCUUUUAUUUUUUCUUUCCAAACAAGUUUUUUUAGCCUUUGACAUUUUAGGAGAAAUUUACAAAAGAAAAAGAAGAGAAAGAUCUAUUCUGAUUUCUGACAAAAUAAAGUUAAACUUCUGCAAGAAUUUAAGUAAGCAAUCAAAAACUAACUAUAGGUGUAAUAAGCAGAACUUUAUGUAUUUAUGCCCAUCAAAGAGGCAACAGCAGAGUAGUGUUGUCUAUCUAUGUGCAGAAAACAGUGGUUUUCUCAGCUUCAUCUCAUGAGUAUGCAGAUGUGGCUGUGGCUAAAGGAGAUGUGCUUGAAGCGGUAAUCAACCUUUUAAUUCCAAUGGUAAAAUUGCCAUGUGAAGGCAUGCAACUCCUCGAGGGCUACAUGACUCUCCAUACAGUCUUGGCACUAUGUGGGCACCAUUGGUACCCACGAUGCACCCCAGACCUUACCUACACUCUGCUCUGUGUCAGGACUCAUUUCAGGACUCAUUUUGAUCUCAUUUCAGAGGUGACUGUACUGUGGGACUGUACAGAGCCAUGCUGGAUCAGAAAUGGAAAACAGAACCAUAGCCAGCAACAGAUGGAUAGAAGAAUUUUGGCUGGAUGUUGCACAAAAAGGUCUACGUACUCUUAGGUUUGUGGUAGAAGAGUUCUCCAAGAUGCUAAUUUUAGGUACAGUUUGAUGUAGAACAUUUGUUCUUCAAUAUCGACGACCUUCUUCAAAAGCACACAUUAUUCCAGACCUUGGGUAUGACAUAAAGGGUUAAGCUGUCCUGUUGUACGGAGAAGCCAGAGCCGCCUCACUGCUCUGUGAAAUCCAAGGAAAGCAGUGGCUCCCGAAAUGCCCUCCCUUGCCUGAACAGUUUGAAGGGAGAAAACACUUCAACUGUGGCUUUCCCAACAGCCUUUUCCUGGGAUGGAUAUUUUCUUCUACAGAAGAAACUUCUACAGAGAAAUUCUGAUACGGUCAACUAACUAGAGCAUCUGGUGUAUGCAGCUGGUCUAAGGAUUCAGCAAGAGGUGAGACCAGGAGCUGUUUAAUCACCACAAACAUGAAGACUAACCCAAGCAUGCUCUCCCUUCUCUGGAGGAAGUCAAGCAGCAGCACUGAGGCAUAAAUGUUCAAGUCCCUUCCAGACGUCUUGCCUGCUUCUGCCUUGAGUCACUAGAAAAACAAGGUGGUUUUGCUGGGUGGAGAUUUGUGUCAGAAUAACUUGCAGAACCGAGCCCUCAGUUUGCAAACGGCGGCGAACUUCAGUUCAUUAAAAGAAAUUUCAGAGGUGAGCUUCGUGAUGCUUUAAACAAUCACUGGAGGAAAAUAUUGGAGCUUUCCACCAAGGCCGUGAGCCAAGCCAGGUUCCAUCUGUGCACUCUCCUCUACUUGAGUGGUCACGUCCAUGUGCCAUUACUAAGGAUGUAUGGUGGAAUCAUGCCAAGCCUUCAACCUCACAUUUUGAACUUCUCAAUAAGAAAGACGGGGGGAUGGUUUUAAAAAGCAAAAGUCCAUGUUCUUAAGCAUCAUCCUCGCUCUUGGUAUUACUGGCAACGGCUGCCCAGGAAUCACUGUCCCUGGAGGUAUUCCAGAACCACAGAGAUGUGACACUGAGGGACACAGUGAGUGGACAUGGUGGGAGUGGACUGCGGUUGGACUUGAUCCUAGAGGUACCUCUGAGAGACAAAGGUCAGGAAAUGGGCUCCUUGCCAGGCCACGGCCACGAUCCAGGUUUUCUGAGACUGAGUACAUUCAUCUGAGCUGUUAGCUGCUACGCUCCACCGCAUCCCUGUAUGAUCUGCCUAGGCUUGGUCCCCCAGAGGAAAUUUCUGCAUGCAUACUGUAUAUGAACUUUAGAUAAAUAAAUAAACACGAGAAACAGCUUCCAGAUAAUUGAAAGCGAGUGAAGGAGGGAGCAAAAAGAAAACAAUUUCUCAGGGGAGAAGCAAGCUGAGGUGGCAGGUGCAGCCUAAAUUCAGCCAAGGUAUUUUGGUUGUUCACUACCUUCGCGUAAUUAAAUAUUGAAGCACGCUGAGCUGUGGUAUCAACAUCCGUAUGGUACAAAUACCUUUUCAGCCCAGCUGGACUCAGCUGCAUUAUCUGUGACCUGAAAAGCACACGCUCACCUUGGUUAAAUGGGGCUCGACUCAGCAAUAUUCAGCAGAGCUGCGGCGGUUCCUGGCUCUGGCCACCAAGGCUCCACAGGAUUUUCACUGCUCAGGUGUUGCAAAGCCUAAUCCUUAUUCAGGAACCAAAACGCUCCCCUCUCCUUGCCUGCGGUGCUUGGAUGCCUGCCUUUGGCAGUAGCCCCAGACUCCUGCAGAAGAUGAAGACAUCCCUCCAUGCCUAUAGAUGGAAAAGCGCCAACAUGGAUGCCAUCAGAAGGACGCAGCUGAGCAUAUGCUGAGAAAAUUGUGGCAUCCAUACUGUACAUGGGGAAGGGCUGACUGAACACACCAGUUUGUUGAAGCUUAUGGCCCUGAAAAGGAAACAUAGGUUUCCUGUAAAUGUCAUUCAGGGAUAUGCUAACUGUUAUUUCCUGGCACUGGAUCAUGAUGCUUUCAACACAUUCUGUUCCUCUACCUCUGCUGCUACCUCUGCUGCCUGCCUGCCUGGUUGUGCGCAGUGAUAGCUCUCCUGUCUUCUCACCUUUCCUCCUCCCCGCGCCAGGCAAAGGUAUUCUGGUUGGGAGGGCCAAUGUCAGCGAGCGAGAUGACAGACGGAGAGAUGAAAUCUCAGCCCUGCACUCAGCCUGGCUGCUGCCUGUACCUGGGCCUUGCUGCACCAUCCCUUGAACGCAAAGCAAUUCAAGGAAAAGAGUAACUUCUGUUACAUUAGAAAUCACGCAUUUCUGACCCAGAAAGAGAGGAAUUUCACAGUCUCUCAGGACAUGUGCUUGAAGGGAGGAUUUCUGGAGCCUAAACCAGAGGAGCCCAGGAGCUGCUGGUGUGAAGGCUCACCGCAAGCACCUGCUGCUUCUGGAGGAGUUCCUGUGGCAAUGCAUGUGCUCAGGAUGAAUAGGAAUCCAAGUUAACAGAAGGAAGAAACAACUCUUUUGUAGUAAUGCUCUGUAGGGCAUUAUCACAGCUAAUCUUAUGGUGGUAUGUUUUAGUCCAAAAAUGUUACUGCUCAGGUCCAUGCUACACCAUUUGUCAGUUGUUUACACCCUACAUAUGGAUUAGCACUGUAUGCUAGCUAUGAAAACCUGUUCUGCUCUUAACCCACCUGCAUGAAGCGCUGAAGCAGCUCACUGCAUCUGAUAUUUAGCUUUACUUCCUUAAGAUGUUGGACCACAAGAAGCAGGCACAGGUACAGGUAACUUGGUAGUGUAAUAAACUCUCCCCAUGUUUCAUCCACCAUUGGCUGUCAAGUUUAAAGAUGUUUGUAAUGAUUUGCCACUGGUGAAAUCCAAAGUAAGACUAGGAAUGUGUCUGUUUUGGCCAACUAGUAAUGACAGCUUGAAUGAUAUUGCACCAAAGUACUUUUGGACCACUAUUGGUUCACUGCCUGAAAAUAAAAUCUUUUUAUUUAUUUUGUCUCCUAUACCCACCAUUCAGAUUUCCUUCAGGAAACAUACCCUGGCCCCUGUCCACUAUCGGAUAGGUGAGAGUGAGGCGGUCUUUGCAGUGGUUAAGCACAAAUUUUGCAGAGAAGGGAUAAAGUGUUGUGGGCAAGGACCUGUGGGCUGAAAGUCAGAGUAACCAUGAUGCAGUGCCAUCACCCCACCUCACAGCUCAGAGUCUUGCAUAUCGCAUGGGCUGCCUGGAGCCUACACAGUUCACAGAGUGGAAAAAGGAAUUGAAGAAGCAAAAAUAAAUACUAAAGCAUGUAAGAAUUAAAUAUCACCUAUUUAAAUAGCAAUUACGCCGCUAAAAACAAGAUCACCACACCUGUACAAGAAAAGACAAGCAAGCCCAAAACAUCUGUUUGCAUCCACCUGCCAAGCACCUGUUCCGCUGUUUCAAUGCCAUUUGAUUGCUGGAGAUGUAGAGGCUCUUGUGAGGCUGGUCGUCACACAGGAAACUGUAUGCAGAGUCCAUCAGCCCAUGCUCUUCAUCACGAACUCAGUUGCUCUUUAAGACCAUCUCCCAGAGAUGAGGAAGAUGCGUUGAUCCAAACGAGACGCAGCCAAGCUUGGAGCAUCCUCUCUGCUCCAUCCCAAGGUAAGCCUGCAGCUGGCACGGCCUUGUGCCUUCAGCCAGGGCCAUUUUGAGGUGGGAACAGAAGAAGAGAGCAGCCAAGGGUUCUCCUGCCCCAGCAUGUGCCUGCUCCCCCCUAGCUUCCUCAGUAAUUAGUGUCAGUGAUGGUGUUAGAUGCUAUUAUGGGAAGAUUCUGCUGAGAACAGAGCUGAGCUCUCCAUGUGCACUUCCCAGGGGAGCUUUGGCACUUUGUCCUCCUCCCCCACUUCCACUGCAGCCACUACAGCAGCUUCCGGGACUCACGGCUGAUUUGAUGCUGUUCUUGAAACAAAGCUGCUGGAGGGUAUUUUAUACCUGAGGGGCCACAUCCUGAGCCUGGGACAGGCAAGUACCAAAGCAGUGGAAGAGGCUGGCAGCCCUGCCGAGGUAUUGUGGUGAACAGCCUAAAAUUUUAGUGAAAGUGAGCAACGUGGAAAGUAGAAGUGGACAAAAACUUUCAGAUCUUCUCAAUGGCCAUGUCCUACCCAUCGUCCUUGAUGGGGCAAUAAAGUGAGGAAAGAGUAAGAGAGGAGAAAAAGAAUGAGACGAGUAAUGUGAAAGUGGGAAUGGAUGAAGUCAAGAGGCUGAAAAAUUAAUUAAGCAUGCUGCAAUAGGCAAUUCUUAACAGACACUGCAGUGCCCUGUGCUAAAGACUGUACAGUGAUGCUAGGGCACUGAUAUUUAGUAUUGCAGGUAUAGAACCCUCAAGUUUUGGAUCUUGUGGUCAUCGGGGUUGGUGGAGUGGGCUUGGGUGUGCAUUGUAGAGUAGAACAAGAGAAGGUGAAAAAUCCAAGAGACCAAAACAGCACAGUGUGCUUCAGGUCCUCACUGGGUGGACAGGGAUAGCUUAAGCUCUGUGCCCUGCACUUCUCAGGAGAUGUCAGCCCAGGGUCCCUGCAGGACUAAAAGCCUUCAUGGCCACGCUUGGCUAAGCAAGCAGACAUUUAGGGGUUUAACUGAAGUGGAUCUGUAAUCUUUCAGUAUUUUAUAAUACAGUAUGUUACAGGAGACCAUAAAUUAGAGCUUAUAAUACCCGAUCCGCUCAGCUACUGACAGAAUAUCUAAGGUAAUCUGACCUGCUUCACAGACCGUGAGAAAAAUCCUCAUGGAAAGUGAAAGAGAUGAAUUACAGAAUUUUACAGAGAAGUGGGAGAAUUUCUCUCGGCUCAGAUCUUGGGUUAAUUCCCAUGUAAGGUGAAAGAAUGUUUCACCACAUUUUGCUCAACUGAAGUUGGCAAGCUUUAAUAGAUGCAGCCCUGCAGGCUGAGGGAUAAACUCUGCUCCCUUUCACUCACUUGAGCCACUGCCCAUGUGAUCAACAAUGUGGGUAGUAAUAAAGUGAAGGAAAUAAGGGAAGAGAUCUCUGAGAGAAAGCAAACGAUGGGAUGAAAUGCUGCAAAAUGUCUGAGGAGGUGUUUUUUUCUCAUUAGGAAUGGGGAUACAUCCCAGUGCUCUACCUCAACAAUAAGGAAGGCAUUUCCUAUCUGCUCGGAGCUGUUGUUCCUCCCUGUCACAAGCAGAGAAUAAAUACAGUCUCAUAAUUACAGCAUGCUGAAGGUGGAAGCUUUUCCUAUGGAUCAACCACUCUUUUUUUUUUUUUUUUUUUUUUUUUGCCCUCCUGGUAAUAGUUGAUCUAUAGAACGUGUCUGUGAUCGUUUCAAAUGGAAGCUAGCAGUUACUUUCUGUUUUCUGCUUUAUGUUCGGGAAAUGUGUCUCCAGAGAUGCCUCCUUCUCUCACCUCUUCCCAUAACAGUGAGAGGUGCCAGCAGCUCCUCUGCCACUUUCCUAACUAUUUCCAUUCCCCUUCUACGUACUUAUGUUUCAUACUUGCUCUCUCAGUCAAUUCCUGCAAGAACUAAAAUGUGGGUCUUGGUCGUGUUAUGUUGGAUGCUGAUCUCUGAGCCAGGUCAGGUGCCUGCAGGCAGGAAAAUAUUUGGUUUUCUGCCAUCAUUUCUUUGUAUCACACCUUUACUGCAAAGUGUCCAAAGGAAAUGAACUUUUCCAGAAAAACAGCCCGAAGAAAACCUUUGGAGUUUCUCAUUUAUGAGUAUGUUUGUGUGAUCCAGGCCUUCUGUGAGGUUUCUAGAUAAUGCAUUGGUAAGAUGAAUGGAGACCUUUGUGUUAUCUGUGAUGGGGCAGAAAGCACACAGCUUCUGGAGUCUUUUGAGGAACUCAGAUGGAAGACGUUACACAAAUCCAAAGCGUGCAUUUUUUUAAUACCUCCUGAUUUAUUAGAUAAAUGUGUCAUCUUUACCUUAUAACUUCUUCGGCCUUGGUUUCUUUUCAAGAAUUAACCAGGAGCUGAUGAAUUUAAGGGAAAUUUUCCAGUGCUGACCAGGAGAUCUGAGAUCUUGAUAUCUCUGUGUACUUUCUCAAGGUACCAGUAGUCCCAUUUCCUCAACCAGUAGUACACUCCUUCUUAUUCUCAGUCAUAAUUGUGUUGAAACUGCCAAGUGUUCUUUCCACCUCUUUAAUUUUGUUCUCAGAAGAAAUCCUUCACUUCUUUGUAUGCAGAGGCUGCUGUGGUCUGGAUCUCAUCUCGUCUUCUAGUAACAUCUUCCAGAUUUGUUUUAAACUGAUUAGACGCUGCUGAAGAAUCAGCUCUCUCCCCCGGACAGUACAAAGCAGAGUGCUGGCAGAGCUGGCUCUUGGCCAUCAUCUACAUGGUGACGCAGCAUCACAUCACUUGACAGCCCCAAUUUCAUUUGGGGAGCUCUGAAAUGUUCACAUGCACUGAAAAAAAUUAUAAUAAUACACAAGGUGACAGGAGGGUGCAAUUAAAACAGAAGCGCCAGCUUGACCAGAGAGUGGCUUUAAUUGGAGGUCUUCUAUACGCUGGAGCACAGACUCUAAAAGCCAUCACCAUAAUAGUCAAGUAUAAACAUUCCAUCCUGUUUCAUAAAGAGCCUACGGUCCAUUUUAUUGCAACACAGUUACUUUCCCAGAUCCCACGAGUGACAAGGCGUGAUGCUUGAAAAAAUUCUCUGAAAUUUUCUCACCGUUUUUGCUUGAAGUAAGUUGCAUUCUGUUUACAAACUUGGGAAAAUGGGCCUCUUUUGCCUACUUUUGAGUGUCAUGGGAACACAUACCGAGAUCUGAUCCAGUAGCACUGCGUGAUGCUGGGAGCUUCUCAGGGUCCCGUAGUUUGCCCCCGAGGGUGUUUCAGGAUGCGGUGUAAAGUUGCAUGCUGUUUGCCAUGUCCAGGGUCCCAGACACAUGGGGAAUCAGACUGGCUCCAAUAUUGAAAGCUGAUCAUUUUUCAGACAAACAUAGAUAUGAUUUUUGUUAUUUAUUCACGCUGAAAUGUUAAUAUGUCCUCAUUACUCUAAAUUAUUUCAUUUUCAACUUACAGUAUGUUCAUGGAUUGCUUGAAGGAAUUACUGGCUUUAGCUUAUGUUAUCUGUGACUCACUUUUAAUAGACUUGACUGGCCAGGUAAUUUCCACAGUAUUGUUUUUGGCUCCUUAACUGGAUCCCAUCCAAGUUUACAAAGUGCUUCCACAGAGAUAAUGGAGAACAUUCCAGCCUCCUGUGAAAUGUCAGCUCUGUGUCCAGUGCUAGACGUGCAGCAUUAACCUGGUUAAAGCUGCUGGAUUCUGUAAUUUCUUUCUGGGAAGUACCAAACAUCCUAAAGACACCAAGUCAAAUCUGCCAAAAGCAGGAGAGAAAAAGAAAAUGGGAGACUCAGAGUGAGAGUGAAAAGUAAAUGCAAUGCUAUUACUUUACACCAAAGAACUGUAAGUUAAUUGAUGUCCAUAAUAAACUUUCAGUAGAAAAGUAUUAAAUAUUUUUGAAGACGUCUGUAAAUCCAGUAUUGGGAAAAAAAAAGUUACUGUUAUCUGGGUUUAAUCAGCUGAGAAAAGCAUGAUGAUAAAUAAGAUUUAGUGGAAGCAUAAAUUGAAAAUGGCGAAUAAUACUUUUAAAAGGGAGCCUACUGGAAUACGUAUGUCUCUAUGUCUCUGAGGUAUUUGAUUUGGAAUAUAUAAUCAUCUCCUUUGAGGAUAUUUAUGAAAGUUAUUUCUGAAUGUUCAGAGAUUUCUCUGCUUUUCAUUAUCUAUUUUUCUUAACAAGGGCCAGAACUGUAUGCCUGAUUUUCUGUGAUAUAUUCACUUGGGAGGUUUUCUCGUACUGGCCAAGGACACAUCGUUUACAAGAAGGUCCUGUCAAGCAUCCAAAUGUCUCUGCUGAAGCUUCCAUUUUAGAUGACCCCACAGAAUGUGAGAAAACCUUCUUUUAGGGGAAUGGCAUCUUCUGGCCAGAGCUGUGUCCUGAAAGGCUGCUGUGCUUAACGCACAGUUGAAAUGCCCAAUGCAAAUUAAUGGUAGAGGUAGGGAUGAUGUACCUGUGUUUUCUCAAGAAAGAAAACUCAAACCCUUGGGAUGAUAUUUUCUGCAUGCAUGAUUACCUUCAUUGCAAUUUGGAUUUCUGAGAAGGUCAGUUGGACUUUUGGGCCCUGUGUUCUGGAGAAAUCUGAAGAAUUUGGGUCAUCUUCCUCUCUUGACUUAAAAAUAACUUCUGUUAAUGCAAUUUGGAAAGCAUAUUUCUUUGAAUAUGAUCUUCCAUUUGCAGAGGGGGCAAAGUUUACAAUUUUGGGUGGAAACCAUGUGAAAGCUAGCGGUUCCAUCAGGGGUUUGUUUGGAAAUUUUUGGAUUUGUUCAAACUCAAAAGUCAAAGUGAAACUCGGGGGAUGUGAACCCGCUUGAAUCAAAACCAAAACAGUGAUGCGCCAGAUCUCCCAUGAACCAAAACCACCGGGUUCUCACAGUUCUCAUCCAAACAAAAAUGCACUAACAUAAAUCAAAUACCGAACCAAAUAUCCUCUUUUGCUCCAUCUGGCUUUCAUGGAAAUAACUCAGAAUAUUUAAAAGGUCUGCUCAGUUUUGCAGCAGCAACCACCAAAAUAUCCUGAGAUCAUUUGAUAUCAGGCAGUUAAUAUCCUGAUCUAUUCUCUUUAGUCAGUAUUCUAAUCCUUUUCUACCAACACUGCCUUGGAGUGCACAGCGUAACUAUCCCUUAACAUCUUCCUCGAUUGUACGGUUUCACAGGGAAGACUCUGUGAACAAUUCACAGUCCUUCUCCUUCUCAUUCUUGCUCAGAGAGCCAAGAAAGGAGUUGGAGCUGCAAGCAGAUGAAAAAACCAAGCAGUACGAUCAGUACGGAAGCAGAACACUUAGCUGCUAUAGGACAAGCUGGGGCACUGAGAAAAUAUUUAAUGAUAAUUUUCCUUGUGAUUUCCCUUGUUUGAGACCAUACUAUGACCCUGAAAUGAGAGAAUUAAAAAAAAAGAUGUUUUGCAGUAUAUCAUGUAGCAAAACGUCUCUAAAGCCAUUAAAAAAAGUGCUGGGCAUGGAAGAACAGAAAAGGUUUCCUCUGUAACUAAGACACGCUUGUUUGUAAUAACAUGUGCUUUCAAACACUGCCAAGUUGCUGAGGAUAUCUCUGUUAUAUACAAUCCUGAAAAAUGUGUUAAAAAAAACAAGGUAAUGUAAAAAAAAGAAAAAAAAUCUAAAAAAAAGAAGAGUUUGAUCAGAUGGUUAAAAUCCAGUCAAACCUAAGACAACCUGUUUAUGACCUUUCCAUGCUAAAAGCUAGAAAUGUCUUUCUUUUUUUUUUUUUUUUUUUUUUUCCACAAGAUUAAUUACCAUCACUUUGGGAGUAGUGAGCUGGACAUUAUUAUAUGAUGUCAAUUAAUGAUUAAAAAAAAGGUGGUUUGCAAAUGUAGCACCACAGUCCCUGGUGCAUUACAUCAUUUCUGAAAGAUCUUAACACGUGAUAAGCAGAGAACAUUUUAACCUAAAAGUCUGAGUGUUACAACCUCCUUUUCUGUUGUAACACCCUACCCACAACCUUUUGGCCUUGAAGUCACUCGCAAUAAAAUUAAGAAGUCAAAAAGAAAAGGGGGGAAAAAAACCUCUGGGAAAGACAAGACACACUUCUGUUUUGCUGUCGAGCAGAUAAUGCAACAAAAUGAGUGGCUAUACGCAUUGGGAAACGCGGUUGCUGAUCUUUGUGCAGUGUUCUCAGCAAGAUUCGUCAUCAAAAUCUCAUGCUUAGAGUCGUAAGGUUGCUGUGAUUCAGGUAUUAUAAACUACAUAAUGCAGUUAUCUCUGUGAGAGUGCCUCGAAAAUUUCAUGCGCUGACUGAAAUGACUCCUGCACUUGUCUAUGCGCUGCUUUCCCAGAUGGGCUGACAGUGAUCAUUUUAUGUGCCUUAUUGAAUUCGCUGAAAUAUUUAGAAGGGUUUCUACCUAUAUUUUACAUCUCCUUCUGUUAUUACCUUUUUUGCAGCAACAGUUUGACUUCUUCGUCAAUAAUACACAUAACCUGAUCCAUUCUUCUCUGAGCUCUUCUCCUCUUUUAGCGUCAAAAUGCUGUGGAUGUUCCUUUGUAAACGAUAUGCAUUUAAAAUACCUUUGUAAUAAUAAAUACCACACGAACAUAUGUAUCAAGGAAAGGAUUUCAAUUUUGAUGACACUUGCUUCUCAAGAACAGACAUUCUGGAAGGAAAAAACAUUGCCAGCCCCAAAUUGAUUGACAUUUGUUUACUUAACUCUCUCUUCUUGAAAGUCUGCACACCUAUUUCAACCUUGAACAGUUUCCAACUGUGGUAUACUGGAACAUUUUUUCAUUUAUUAAGUUCAGUGUUGCCAACCCAAACAAAGAGUAAUCAGUGAUGAUCCAAGCAGACCAAGCUGUCUAGCACCAUACAAUGUAUCUGCAUGCUAAUUUUCAAAUUCCCUCACAUUUCCAGAGAACUAAUGGGAUCAUUUUCAUUCUGUUACAGCAACUCAACAGUUACUGAAUCACCAUCUGUGUUUUCGUUAACCUGAAUCAGAUAUGAAUUCUGUUAUUGCAAGGUAGAGCAGCUUGUUUAAUGAUUCUUAAUCUUUUCUUUAAUUAAAUCAUGCAGCCAACCUGAAAAAUCUAUCUUAAUGCAAAUUAGGAGCUUUUUUGGCAUUCACUUACAGUAAUGCACUAAUAAGGUUAAUUUAUGAAGGUUCUCUUCCAGUCUGUACAGAUGAUAUUUGUUCGCUGCAUAUUUUUAGCAUAUUGUCCCCUUUUCUAAUAUUUAAAAAAAUAUCGCUAAUAAAAAAGGGGUUGUUUUCACUCAUACAAAAGAGGAAGGCUGCGAGCUGCUUUUUGUUUAUUUGAAAGAACACAGAAAAGGAAGAUGGGUUUCUCCCCUCCGUGAGCAUCUCUCCACGCGGGUGCAGAGGCACAAAUCGAGGACUGCUGGGUUAAAUGGUUUUGGAUGAGCACUCUCCACUUCUCGCUGGAGAAAUUCAGGCCCCGGUUCAGAUGAGCAUCUUGAAGUUAUCAGUGGAGACAGAGAGUUUCUCUGAACCCUUUGUUUUAUUUUUUUUUUCCUUGUAGGUGUGAAUUAAUUGUAUAAAGAGUAAAUAAUUCUUGUGAAAUAAGCCCGAAUACUUUCCUCAGUUGCACAAUUGCUUCAGCUCGAGGCUCUGAUGAUCUCAGUCAAGAAAAUUUCUGUCUUUGAACGCAUUCCUCCCAACUACAGAAUUAGUUGAAAUCUGUUCAAGUUGCUGAGUAAAGAGUAAACUUUGUUGUUUUCUUUUUAAGGUUAUUUUUCAACACCCACAAGCAAAUGGGGACAGCGACUGCAAAUUUCAACACGCGGCCGUUGCUAUUUAAUUAAAAUCACUGAGGCUGGCUGAAGACUUUUCAGCAGAGUGAUUUCACAUCAGAGAACACCGGUUCUCAAAAUCUGAACAUUCUUUUCAUAGAAAUCCAUCCCUCCAUUUCAACCAGGAAUGAGAUUUCAGUUCUAGGAAAGGACUUCUCAUCCCAGCUAGGAACGGCAAACCAUCACUCCCCUUUUGCGGCGGGGCUGCCCAACCGUGGCAGCCAGAGCAUCUCUUUCCACCCCUCUCUGUAUUUCCAGCUGUAAUCGUUCCAUGUCUGUCUGCAUUAACUAUUUGCACAGCUCAGGACAGGAGCUCUUGUCCGAGGAGUGGGGAAUCUCCAAGGCUGUGAUUCUCUCUGUUUCAUUAAAGGUAAUGGCAGGGCAGAAUGCCUGCAGGGUGGUUGAACCUUCCUCUCGUUCCUUGCGACCGGGGAAUGGAAACAAUAUCUCACACUAUUUGUGCAGUGAUUCCUGGCUUGUUAAUAUUCUGGUGUGGCUGUUUUUCUCUGCUGUGAGGAACUUUGCCCACUUAGCAUGGGGUUUUGCCUCUGUCUAAGUGGGAAUGCUGCUUUUCCUUUUCCCUUCUUCCAUUUGGAAAGCUGUUUUCCUGCCAUUGCUAGUCCUUUCUGUGUAAUAUUAGCGCAGAGAGAAUGAAAAGUAACUGCUUUCCUUCCCAUCCAAUCGUACCUACGUAGUCUUAAGUAUAUUAUAUGCUUCGCUUCCUGCUUCACCCACUAGUAAAAUAUGUUGAUAGAUGAAUACGGGGGUAAGAUUGCUUUAAUUAGAACCUAUUGCCCUGCACACUAUCUUCUCUAAAGACUACCUGUAUUAACAUCUGGGGAAAAUAAGUCUUAAAGAAAAUUUCCUAGGACAGAUUUUUGGACUUCACCCCCCAACUUCUGCUUCCCAACCCUUUCAAUUUCUCAAGUAUAUUUAAAAAUGCAUGACUCACCCUGUUGCUUCCUUAUAUUUUAUGGUGAGGUGGGGGGGGGGGGGGUGCCUUCAUUUUCAUUCCUGGGAUUACCUUUAACGAAGUGGAAAACAUCUAAGGGAUGGGAUAAUACCUGAUGCUUACAGUUUUCUUUACAUCACAUUACAGUAUUUUCUCAGGUAUUAAAGUAGCACUGGGCUCAACUAAGAGGAGUGAUCAAACUGUCUACUAAUGAAGUUACUCUGACAGGAACUCCAGGAACCGGAAACUGAACUUCAGAAUCAUGAAGAGCACUGCUAGAUGAAGACAUGGGCUGGAUACAUGUCUACCACACUAGAAGAAACUGAAAGAAUACGAUCCCAUUUGACUCCAAAAGUCUUUCUAGGCUAAUUACCAGCUCACAGAGCAGAGAAAUUAAGGCAGAGAGGGAAUGUUCAUGAUGACAACCUUUACCCAUUAGCAAGCUUUGCAUUUUCCCAAGGCUGAAGACAGUUUAGCCCUGACAAAUCCAAUCAGUGAUAUGCAGGCGUAACCUCCAGAAAUAAGCUCACAUUUUUAGGAUCCACGGGGCAAAAGAUGGACUGCAGUAAGUCACUAUGAAAAUAUUUAAAAUACAGCUUGGCCAGUGCUGAAAUGGCACAGUUGGCCUGAAGUCGCUUCAAGGUCUCCUGGCAUCUGCGUGUUUCCCCAGUGGCUUUGUGCAGUAAAGUGUUAACUUCUCCUGAGUGGUUACGUGUUUAAGGCAGUAACUUUAAAAUAAAGAACUGCAACCUUAGAGCAAAGCUGCUAUUUUGAGAAUUUUAAACCAUUAUUGACUCCUGUCAGAUCAGUUUCUAGACUUAUUGACUCAAGAAGUAAAUAUAGACUGAGAGAAAGCGAGGUCAAGUCAAUAUUUAUCUUGCAGAUCAAUACAUUUUGAUACUAACCAAAAAUUAAGCUCAAUAAAUGCAUAUAUUAUACACAGCAAGGUUAGAAGAGAUCCAUUCAGAAAAUUUGUCAAUUUGAAAUUUCCCAACGGAAUCCAACCUUUUGGAUUCAAUUUCCAUUAGAAAUUCUGUCCCUUUAAGGUUGCUUCAGUGACUGAUCACGAGCCCCCAUCACCCAAUCAGGUUUCCAGAUGAACGUUGAGUAGCAGCGAAAGGAAAAGGGAAGAAUGAUGAAGUGAGAAGAAGUUGGUCACAGGAGCUCGAUUACGGUGUUAGGAGGAGGUAGGAGAACGGAAGAGCUGGCAAGCUGAGACACUACCAGUACUUUGUGGAAACCGACAUAUGAAUUUGUUCUACAAAUGUGCCAGGGACACACUGAUCCAACAGUUAGAUCACUUCCAGAAGACACGGAGUUAGAUCUCUGAGUUCACUUCCAAUUGCUGACUACUACUAUCCAAUAAAAGAAAAAUUCUGCGUAAAGUAAACAAGGAAAAUGGAGGAGAUUCUGCUGGAAGGACAGAAGGGACAGCAAGCAUGGAGAUUUAAAUCAGAGGAAGACUGACUGUCACUGCAGAGGGGAAAGGGCAUGAGAAUGAGCACUGCAAGAAAAAAAAAUCAUCAAAAAAUUCCUCCUUCUCUGGGAUGAAUACAGGGGAGUAAAUGUGUUCCUACAAAAAUUGAAUUAUGUAGUGAUUUUAAAUAUGGUGUGAGAAUGAAGGACAUAUGAGCUGCAACGAGAGAACCAAAGAGGAAUUAUGUGAUGUGUUCAGGCUGGGAGUGUGCCUCACAUGACAACAGGAAGAGAGGAAAGGUGGAGGAAAAAAAAUGCAGAAUCGACUCUAUUCUGAGCCAUUAAUGUCAGCCAUGUUGAUGUUUUGUAGCUAGUUAUAUUUGCUGAUGGUUCCCACGCACUCAUGACAUUCAACUUUGCAUCAUCCCCUAAAAACUGGAAAGAUGUCUCUCUGAGAAUGACCUAUAGCUUUGAUAUCACCAUAACUAAUUUCCUUUUCCUAAAGUAAUGGUGCCUACUCUUGAGGAGCAGAAUGCUGUGAGCUUUUAUUUCCAGUCUGAGGACAGUUCUGUGAUAGGUGGAAUAAUGCCAGAACCUACUUUUCAUUAGAUUGUAUGAUCUGACUUUAUCUUGCAUGCUCUGUGUGGUUUGAGUGAAUAAAUCACACCAGAAUUUAUGGGGUUUUCAUCCUUACAAAUGAAUCUUCAUCAUUACUAUGUGGAUAUAAGUAUUCUUGGGCUGCAGAAGACAGUGAGACCCACCAGGGCAACACAAACUGAUGCCAACUUGCCACCUACUACUCCCUUAACCCAAAACUCCAAUGACCUGGGCCACUGAAACACUGGGAUCCCAUAGGGACCUGCCUGGCCAUUCCAUCUGGGGUUUGCAGGACAGGAUCCUGGUCUUUUGUGAAAACUGUUGACUAAAAAUUCAAUUUUCUCUUUCUCUUUUUUUCUUUUACUGUAAGAAUGGCAGAAGAGGAAUGGCCAGAAGCCACCUCCUUCUUGUUUGGACCAGCCUGCUUUUCUAAGGGCAACAAAAAGCAACAGAAGUGGUAGAGAAGAUGAAUGCAUCUUCCCUCCCUUCACAUAAAUUUGUGUUUUUUUUUUUCCUGUUGUUGUUGUUUUAUCCUUUUUUGUUUUAUUAUUUUUCCUAUUUAUUUUGCAAUUGGAAAAGUCCUGGGAUUUCAUUAACAACUUCCCAGGAUGACAGUGAGACCCUCACGACCCAGCAGCGAGUUCCAGUUCCCACCUGGGUGCCUCUGGAGAGUGACAAAUCUCUUGGAUGUGCUCUAACAUCCCAGAAGCACAGGCCAGGAACAUCUGUCUGUUCCUUCCCUUCCUUCAGACUGCCCCGAGGAGGAGGGAGGCAGGCAAGUAAUGAUACGAAAGGCAAAGGCUCAACUGGCCGUGUUACAUUAGCCAACUCAAAUAAUUCCUCUUGGCUGUGGAAACAGCCUUCCCAUCCAAAGCGGUCUUUUUUUUGUUUGUUUGUUUUUUUCCCUUUUUCCCCCCCAAAAAACAAGAACAGCUUAUUUCCAAUUUUGGGCAGGUUCCUUGGCCAUGGGCCAGCUCUCCCCACUGCCUCUCCGUGCUACUUCCCAAUGCCCCUCAAGUGACCUUACUGAAUGCCACGGGGACCAAACCUUACCGAACAGCAAAAUCAAAGUAUGCAAAUGAAGCUUGGAUUAUUACAUAUAUAAUGAUGAAAAUGUUUUUCCUAUGCUAUUGCCUGUGCCCAGCUUCCUUCCCUACCACUCUGAGUGCUUCAGAGCUGUGUAUAGCUGUUGAGCUGAAGCACCCAAGAAUGGCUCUGAAGCAGGAAGAGAGUUCAAUCUGCAGGCUGGUUUUCCAGGCACUUUCUUUCUCAUUCUCCACAAGAUAGUUGAUAUUCCUCCGGAUUUUGCUGUUAUUAUUUGGGUGUCUCUACUUCACAGAAAAGGGCAGAUGAAUGCCUUUUGCAGCCUCUUCAGUCCACUCUAGUUCUAUUUUAGGCUGAGAAGACUGUGCUGCUUGGGUAGAUGGGUGCAUUUCAUGCCAACAGCUUAGUCUUUCUGCAAAGUUAGGCAUCUCAGUUUGAAAAAAUAAGUACUAGGUAAAGCUGUUUGAAUCAGUGCAGGAAGCUGAGUUGCUAUCAGAUGUAUAUGGCAUAAAGUACGUAUCCUGAUGGGUACUCUUCUUCAAAGGAAAAGUGGUGAUGUUUACUUGUGCAUUUUAAUGAUGAGAGGAUGCGUACUGUGACACGAAAUCCUAUCCACUGUACCAGUUCAACAGCAUUUAAACACUGAAGUCUGAGCUACGCAUAACCAAUGGGAAGGAUGUGGAAGAACGCUUGCCUGAAGACACCUACUCUUUAUUUUUAUUACAAAGUCAAUUACCAUUUCAAAGCAGCCAUGUGACAUGUAUACUGUCAGGAGCCAGAUGUUGGCAUUGUGAUAUUGUGACAUUAAUUUAAAAGAAGAGUCUUUUUUUUUUUUUUUUUUUUUAAAUGCUGACUUCCCAAGGAUUAAGUUGGAUAUUCUCAAUGUAGUUGAAAAAAGAAUUUACAUUCCCCAAACACAAACAUUCUUGUUUUCUGUUUGGUUUUAUAACUCAGUCAUUUCUCUAUUGAAGAAGCACAAAACAGAAAGAACUUUUGGUUCCAGGUAGUUUCACUUCAGCUGAUCUUUCUAAAAGCAUGCACCUUUUUAGCUGUUUCAGUUAUGAAUCAUAGAAUGGCCUGGGUUGAAAAGGACCACAAUGCUCAGCCAGUUCCAACCCCCCUGCUAUGGGCAGUUGCCAACCACCAUAUCUUCUUUAUAAAGGGAAGUUUAUUAAGUAAAAUUUGGGUUACUGAGGUUUUAGCACAUGUUGCAUUGAAUCCCUUUUUUUCCCCCCUAAAUCACGUGGUUAAACUUAGUUUGGGUCUCUUACAACCAGAAUCCCUGCUGACUCCGCUCUGGUCCAGGCAGAUUGAACUGAGUCGCAACACUGCUGGUACGCGUCCUCAUCCCCAGUGCCAAGAAAAACCCUUUCCCUCUGUGUUUUCUUGUUAGCAAUACUGCUAUGGAGGCCAAGGACUGACAGUCUUUCUCUUAAUUCUCAAAUCCUCUCCUCCAACAGGGAAAAAGGAAAAAGAUUGAAAAACCUUUUGCUAUUGUUUGGUUGUUUGAUCAUAAAGGGGAACUAGACUGCCAAGCCAGCACCCCAGCAGCCCUAAAUCUAUGUGUAAAAUAUGGGCAAAAGGAGAGAAAAGAUUUAUUGUUAUUAUUAUCAUCACAGACUACCUUUAUAAUAUAUGUGUUUCACUUAAAUUAAUAUUUUAUAACUCUAUAUCAGCCUCUGCAGCCACCCAACAGCAUUUCUUAUUUAUCCAGUCGGACAUACUAAUUUGCUUUUAUCAAAAUACUUGAGAAAUAAUUGUCUUACCUCUCCUAGGACAUGCUACAGGGUUUAUUCUCUCCUUGCUAUCUACAUAGUUAUAAAUCCUCAUGCAUUGAGAGCAGAAUAGGCUUUAUGUGUCUAGCAAUUUCUUAUGAUUUCUAGGCUAUUAUCCCCAAAUCCUAAUUAACCAUUUUUAAAAAUAAUGUGGCCUUUCUACCACGUGAGAUAUACCAACAUGAUAAGAUACGAUGUGAAAGUCCCAAGUAUAAUGUAAUUCUGCUGCUUUACUUUUCCUCUUUUAUUAGAGAUUUCUAACAUAAUACUGCAUUUUCAUCCAAAGUGACAGGAUUCAGUACAUAGUUUGUAGUAUAUGUUUUGCAAACUGCCAGAACAGAGCCAUUGAAUUUAGUUUUCUAAUAAUCGUACAGCCAUACAACACGCCCGUACAUGUCAGAAACUGAAGAAAGCAAAUUUAUACACAACAACGUGUAUUUUGUGGAUAGCGAUAACCCACCCAAAUCUAAUUUAAUCAAAUAUUUAAAGAGGUAAUAAUUAAUUUUUAAAGAAUUGAAGUGAACCGUAACUAGGAGGAAAUGUUAUUGUUUAUUUUUAAUGCCAGAACUGUAUUCCUGAUGCAUUUUUAAUAUUUCAUUAAGGUGGUAACUUUCAUGGCGUAUUUUUUCAAGUUUCAUAUCUCCCUGAUUUAUUUCUUUUCUUCUGAAGAAAGGUAAAAUGCCAUAGGGAAACUUAAAGCUUAGAAUGAUGCAGUCUUUGAGGAGCUCUUCCUAAAACUUCCUGGAGUCUUUUUAAGCAGAAUUCUUCUUAAGCCUUUCUGGACAAGCAUUCUAAAACCAGAAGUCUUUUAAACAAGCUGAGGUACAGCAUCUGCUUGUGAGCUGAGCAAAGGGUUCUUCUUUCAGUCAAUGAAUGUGUUCAUCAGGUACUACUUUCUAUUCUGUCUCCAAGCUAUUACUCAUCACUCAUCAUUCUUACUUUCCAGAAGAGAUAUCUGCAAGAAUGGUUUUAAAGCCCAUUGCCUUUCAAACCUGUGUUCUGCCCUUCCUCAGUCCUUUGUUUUUUGUUUUAUCCCUUCUUUUUGAUGGAGCGUCUCUCACGUUUUUGAGCCUUUCAUACUCAAACUGUGGAAGCCUGUUUAUUUCACUCUGGCUCCAGCCCUAGUUAAAGGUGUGAACUACCAAAGUGGAAGGGGGCACAUGCACAUUAACACUGCUGUGGAAAACGUCGCCUGACAGAUGGAUGCAUGUUAAAUGGGUGUUUGAAGAAAGGUGUUUGCAAUAAAAAUCCUGAGUAUGGCAUCAGAGGAAGACCACACACAAUUUUCUACUUUUAUUUCUGUAAUAUAUAGGGGCCAGGCUAGUUCUGGUCUGCUUUAUACUGUCACUUACUCAUAUUUGCUAUUUUAUACUAAUAAUUUGUAUAUUAAUAUUUGUGUGUGUAUUUCAAAGUCUGGCUGUUUUCAAGGGUCUGCUCUGCAGCACAAGGGUCUGAGUCAACAUAGUAUAAAUCAUUGGUUUAUUCAAUAAACAAAAUAGUGAAAGGAUAAAUUGAAUUUCUCCAGUUUCAGUCACCAGUUCUUGAUCUCUGGGGGAUACUCACCUAAUAUGUUAGUUAUGGAGCUAUGAAUAUGAUGUGCAGAUACAUCCUUGCUUGGGUUUAUCUACCUUGACCUUAUCUACCCUAAGAACUGAAGUGUUUAAAUUCUGGUUGAGAAUUGAAGCAGGUGAUUAGAACUAGAUGAUCUUUGAGGGCCCUUUCAACCCAAGCCAUUCUAUGACUCUUUGAAAGAGGAACUGUAGAUAAGUUCACUCAAUUUCUGUUCCUAAGUCCUUAGCUGUUCUCUGGAUGGAUAACAGGAUUUUUUAGGCACAGCAUUGCAUUCUCUACCAUCUUUGCUCUUUUCCCAAAAUAUUUCUGACUCAGUCAUCUCCUGCCUACACAGCGAACUUUUGCGCCCCCUGACUUAGGCUGAAUUGGUUUCUCUUUAUGUACAAACAGGACUGCUUUUUCUUUCCUGAUUUCAUAAUUGCUAUUUCUAUUGGUUUGCUUCUUUUAGUUUUCAAUUCUACUUCAACUUGACUAUGAAGAUUAUCAAGAAAUAAAGCAUGAUUCACAUCUACACAUAGUUUACGACCUUUAGAUUCAAGCCCCUUUAUAUAAACUUGCAAAUACGAAAGGAUACGUCAUAAGACCUUGUAGGCACCCAAACUGUCAGUGAAUUCAGCCUGAAACUGUUUUUUUCAGCUUUAUUGAGACCUCUUUAUAAGCUGUGCUUGUGUUAUGACAAUAGAUUGUUUACAGAUUCUUAAAAUGUCCUGAGUUGAUGGAAAAAAAAGGGCAAUUUUUUUCCUUAUAAAUACCACUUGACUUUGAGGAGUGUUUGAAGCUACACAACCAGAAUAGGAACAUUCACACCCGCUGUACGAGUGGCUCAAAAACCCUGUCAUUUCUCUCAGGCCCAGCUCCAGCAAGCACUUACACACAUGCUUAACUUUAUGCACACGAGUAAUCCCAUUGAUUUAAUGGGAUUAUUCCCCUAUGCACAGUUACGCAAACAUAAGUGUUUGCAGGACUGGGGUCUAUUUCUCUUGCAAUGAUUUGAAACCUGUGGAAGAAAACGCUAUAUGCAAGUUAGAUAUUAUUUAAUGGCCACAUAUUAAGCCUGAAUAUUUCUGCUGAAAUUGGUGAGGCUGUGCGAGUUUCUUUCUGGCUGAGAAACUGUCCUCUUCUGUGCGCAGUGUACACUCUUAGCUUGCUAUGGUGCACUGUGGCUAUCACAGCAUAGAAAGGCAUAUGGGAACUGUUGAGUCACAGCCUGAACCACUGACUGAGCACCUGGGGAAAGGACCUGGUCAGCCCUGGGAGCACAGGUGAAGACAAUUCACCUGUAUGACUGGAAGGGGUGCAGCCUGGCUCCACCUCUCUUAGAUCUCAUUUAAGGGCUGACUGCCACUGGAGAAGGAUCUCCUUCUGGAGAUCCCUCCUUGAUGGAGCUUUCCUUUGUGAACCUGGAAUCAUCUGAUACAGGUGAGCAAUCUUCUUCCCUUCUGUUAUAGCACCUGUCUAUCAUGCUUAUCCUUCAUCAUUAUACGUCUAGUGAAACACCUUUUCCCAUCAUAUUGAUCUGUCCAUUUACUACAAAAACAAAAUGGAGAGAUAAUCAGUAGUAGAAGUACUAAAAGAGAAAAUUCUCCAUGUCCAGAGGUUACUGUAUUUCAAAGCAUUGAUUUAUAACUUGACAAUGACAUUUACAAAACGUUCCUCUAUGUCCAGGAUAUCCUUCUCAUUAAUGCAAUAACAUAAUAACUCAUAAAUAUUUCAUAUAUGUAGAAAAGGCUUACUUUAUAUAUACAUAUGUGUAAAUAAAGAAAUCUAUACACAUAGAGAUGUAUAGUAGAAAAGUACUUCCAAGCAUCAAAAAAACUAUGCAUAAAAUUGUAUGCUCGCAUGCACAGGAUGAUCAUUGUUAUGAAAAUAACUUUGGUAAAAAUAACUGAACUUGAAGUUGCCUCUGACUUGGAUAGUUCACUUUUGAUUUGAAAUUCUGCAGCCAAGAUAAUUUUUAAAAAUUUAGGGCUAGUAACCAUCUGCCAUAAAUGAUAGAAAUUAAAUAUAAAUAAAAUAGUACUUCUACUACCAGUGAUGGGAAUCACAAGCCAAAUGUAUCCAUGGUCUAGGCAGCAGGAACACUUGUAGAACGAAAGCAGCUAAAGGAGCUGUUUUGGCCCAGACAUGUUUUGAUGUGUAGUGUAUCCUGUUGGCUGAACAACAGCAUUAUUAAGCAAUUUGGGCUGGAGCAUCACUGGGCUCUGUGAAGAAUUUGAAGAUCUUGAGCGUGUUGCAAGAAGAAUCAUGCUGUGUCAUUCAGUAAAAAUAUAAUCAGUCUUAUGCCACUGGCACAUUCAAACACCUAGUGGGAUAUGCUGGGCAUCAGUGUUCAAGGUUCUAUGUAAGGUAACAGCUGCUUUGGUCAGGCAGUUAAUUAAAUGUGUUAAUUUUCCAUACAACCAACAGUAGUGACAACAGAUCAAAGUGGAAUUUUAUGACAUUUCAGGGUUCCCUUAUGUGAUCACAAUGGUGGAUGGCACCCACGCUAUCUUUCACAUCCCUUCACUGUAUGAUGCUGCCUUUCCCUUCUGGAAAGCUUCAGUCUUUGACUCUGCAAAUACUCCAAUGGUAAUACUUUGGUACUACUUGCUGGAUAUUGCCAGUUGUCCCAACUCCAAUCUUGAAAAGCUGCUUGGGCUUAUUCCCAUACUGAUGUUGGUUUAGUCUGAAGAUGAAGCAAUUCAUUUGCAAAGCUAUUUUUAAUUUUCUCCCUCCUGUCUUACAUUUCUUAUGAGAAAUAUUCAAUGAGCAGAUAUGUAGUGUGGAAAUAAACUAGUAUGGUAUUUUUGAAUAGAUACUGUAUUCUUCAGAUGUAGAAUUACAGAAAAUUAUUUCCUUUUCCUUGAUAGUUCCGUUUGCUGCAUUGCGAGAUGACAAAUUCAACCUUUUCCAUAACAUUGCUACUUUCAUAACACAGUAAUAACUCAAAGGCAUCGGGAAAGAUAAGGUAAAUGGAGAUGAUUCAUGGAAACGACUAUGAAAGCUUUUUAGAAAUAAUGGACUGACAAAUAUGAACAAUAUUUGAAUAAUAUAAAUGAACUAGACAAGUUUCUUCCCCACCAAAUGGAUAUAACACUGUGAAGAAAUGUGGAAGAAAUGUAAAACAACAAGUUAAGAGUAUAAGGACUGACCGAAAAUGAGUCACACUCCCACGCUUUUGGCUCACAAUUUGAAAUACUUGUUUUUACUUGAUUGGGUAGCCACUAAAAGUAUAUAGUAAGAUUUGUUUGAAUUUGAUCUGUCACUUUUUUUGAUGGGUGACAAUGAUUUUAUGACAUAUGCCACAUAGUGUCACAUCAUUCAAAACACAUUAAGUCACGCUCUAUCCCGUCAUUUCUGAAGGCAAUAAUGCUAUUCAAUGUGACGUGACAUGAGGAGAUGUAACACAACUCAACAGCUGAAAAAAUAAAAGGAAAGUUUUGUAGGUGUGACGUGGGUUCCUGAAAUUACAUUGUAAUGAAUCUUAGGAGGAAGAUCCCAGGAGCUAAGUUUGUAAAGUAGAUCCAUUGCUUGACUUGUGUCUUUAGGAUGAUGAGCUCUGGGUUACCGUGCACAGAGGGGCAGUGGGUGGAUGCUACAGUCAUGACAGCAGUCUCACUGGGCUCAGAGGCACAAACUAGCUCUUCAGGAACUACUUGCUGGAGGUUCUUAUGCCUGAAAAGAGACAAGACUGGAACUCUCUAUGGCUUGAAACACCUCUGAGUGUUUUAGAGCAUUUAAAAUUACUGCAGCCUUGAGGAUGUCCUAGGCAGAACCCAUUACAAGCUAGAUAUUUGCUGGUUCUAGUCCUCUAACAGCUCCUUAUGGUUGUUUACAUGGAUGGAUAGUAACAGGAAAAGAGGGAAUGGUCUUAAACUGAGACAGGGGAGGUUUAGGUUGGACAUUAGCAGGAAGUUUUUCACACAGAGGUUGGUGAUGCACUGGAACAGGUUGCUCAAGGAGGCUGUGGAUGCCCCAUUCCUGGAGGCAUUCAAGGCCAGGCUGGAUGUGGCUCUGGGCAGCCUGGUGUGGUGGCUGGCAACCCUGCACAUAGUAGGGGAUUUGAAACUAGAUGAUCAUUGUGGUCCUUUUCAGCCCUGGCCAUUCUAUGAUUCUAAUAAAAUUAAAAUUAAGGUAUUUCCAGUCUAUAUGAGCUCUGCUCUUGUUUCUUAAACACUAUGUACUGUCCUGCCUUGGGACCAUCAGGAGCAGAGUGUCUGUGUUUUAUAUAGUAUCGUGACGCUAGUUAUUAUUUCUGACUGCAAUGAAGCUAUGUCUACUUAUACACGCAAACAGCCUUUGGCUAGAUUAACAGGAAGUUCUCUCUUCCUACACCAAAAGUAGAACCUCACCACAAAAUGUGAAGUUGCCUGGUCAACUCUGCAAGAUCUCAAAUUCUACAGCUACUCAGGUUGCACCAUUGAUGUUUUCCAGGUUGGUAUAACUUAGCCAUGCACACAAAUAUGGUAUGCUUGCUAGUAUUACACAGCUCCAAAUCUACGCCUUCAUGAAUACAGUCUAGUUGCACAUUAUGUUUUUAUCACCUUUUUGUUGAUGGAGCCUAUGAAUACAGAUUCUCUAAGAUCUUUGGAUACUGUCAGAGUUGGAAGCUCAAGAUCACCCAACCUGAAAUGCUUCCUUAGCUGCCCACCUGGAAUCACUGACCUGAGUUGUCAUCUCCCAAUUCCUAAUAAAAUUCCUGGGAAGGUACUACAUGGCUGUUUUCUACUUUCUUGAAUCUGAUUUUGUUAUAUUCCUUUAAAACUGUCAUUGGAAUUUUUCCUCCUUCUGCAUCCUAACUACAUAAUAACACAGUCCUUAAACCCAGUGUAUAUGAUACAGCUUCAGUAAGAGAAUCAGAAUAGCUGAUCACUGGGGAAAUAGGGCUCUUAUCCAUGUGAGAAGGGGUUACGAAGGCCCUUGGACUUCAGCCUCCAACUCUUAGAUGUACAGCUAACCACUGAACAUUGUGAAUGGGGCACACAGUGCCAGUGAGACCUGACAUGAUGGCCAAAAAGCUGCUCACAGCUCUGAAUACAAACAGAAAUGUGGGCCCAACUUUCUGCAAUAAUUCACCACCCUAUUUUCACAAUUUCUUAUUAACUUCCCUCUUUUUGGAGCUGCUGCUGUUCUCUAGGCCCGAUUUUUCCCUGCUGAUUGUCUUAGAAGAAAUCGUUGAUGUCUGGAGUUUCCAUCAUGUUCUAGGGCAGCUGAGAACUGAUCUGAGUAACGUCCAUUCACCUCUUUCUUUUGUGACCUUUUCCAAAAAAAAAAUAAACAAUCCUCUGCAGUUCUGUAACUAUCUUUUAAGAUGUUAAUUACUUGCAGGCUGAGUAUCUUGAAGUUCUUCCACCUUUGCUACCAAAGAGUAACUUGUGUAAAUUCUCGCUUUGUUGUCACACCUGUUACAGGAAAUCACUGUUACAACUUAAGUGUGAAAAAAUGUGACUGAACUAUACGUAGUAAGAAAAGUACACACACCAAUCUCAAUGUAAGUGCAUCACUGCUGCUAUAAAACAGACAAAACUACUUUGGUGACAUUCGCUGUUACUGUACGUUGACAAGUUCCCAUUUAAUUUACUACAUAUGGUUCUACGUCUCCAUAGCUACUCUCGUGAAUUCAUUAUUCAUUAAAUAAGUGAUGAAUUUACUCAAAUAUUGCAGCCACAUGGCCGACACAAAUGCAUUCUAAUAUUAUUAACACGUUGCCAACUUGCAACUCUUCGAAGUCUGAGUAAAUGUUUUGACAAGAAGAGGCAGCAAGAACAAAUAAGUAGUAGCAGUCUAGAUGAAGUUCAGCCAUAGUUCUAACAGCUUUAAAGUCUUAACAGUGUUUUCACUGGGGCAGUACCAGAUAAAUUGCUCUUAUGUGUGCAUACAAGAGACUAAAAUUCCUUUGAAAGUUUAUAAUUUCUCAUGGGAAAACACAACAUAAAAGUUACUUUUACUCAUAGAAAAACAACACCAUAUUUUCCUGUCAACCUUUGCUGUUGGGAAUUUCAAACUUUUUGCAUUUUUUCCCUGUGAUUCUUUGUCGACCCAAGGGACAGGCGUUUACAACAUAAUUUACUUUCAGCAUGUCUCUGUAAAUCAUUGUAAUACUUUCUAUGGCUAGAAAGAAAAAAAAAACGCUCUCAAGUUGGACUGACAAAGUACUUUUCUGAGCCUCCAACAGCCAACUAAAAACACCUCUGUUUCAGAAAUGUGGAGAGAUACACAAAAGAAAAGUUUUAUGAGGGCUUUGCGUGAAUGUUUGUAUUCAGAGGUUGUAGCAUUUAUUAGGAAAUAUUUAUUGAACUGCAUUUACUUGCAGUAAAAUAUAUGGAAUGCUUAGUGUGUUGGUGGUACAAAUUAAAAUCACCAGCAUCCCAUGUUUGGAGGAAGGCCGUUAUUUUUUCCUUGCUGUUAUUGAGGCCUGUUGUUGUCACUGUUGUUGUACGGGCUUAGCAGAGCUGUCUCGGAUUAGGUGAUUUAAGCAUGGCCUCCCAUAAAAAAAGCUGGAAACCUGUAGAGCCUUUCAGCCUCACUUUUUGAGGCUGCUGCUAAUAUCAAGGCUCAUUCAGUUUUACAUUAGAACUUGAUGACUUGCACAUUGGUUGAACCUUCACCUUUUACAACCUUAAUGGGGAUUUAUUAGCUAUUUCACAGUGUGUAAAUUUGAAUCUAGGUCAGAUGAGGAAGAAAAAUAGGGCAAAUCUGGGCCUUAAGUAUAACCUGCAUAUAAUAUAUCAGGAUAAAAAAAAAAGGUGCAAAAUUAAACAGAUGAUUAAAAGUGUCUAGAGCAGUCAGAGUUUGAAAAAAGAGCUUGAUAAAUUAGGGGUGUUAGCGGGCUGCUUUUUUUUUUUUUUCUGAGUUCAAACUCAGGUGACUGGUGAAAGUCUGGUUUCCACACAAAUUCAGCAGAUUAAGGAGUUAAAAUAGCUUGUUAACCUGUUUCUGCUAACUGCUCGCAAGAGGAAAUGUAACACAGGUGUGUUUGAUAUUCGCAAGAUUAAAGCUUUUGUCUACCAUCAAAUGUUCACCACAUUAAAGCUUUUUUAAUGAGGUAUUGGAAGAUAAUGAAUGUAAGCCUCUAAUUCACUGCAGAAGAGACAGCUUGCCCCUGCUCUGACCUCACUGCAGCCAGGUAUCUACAACAUAUUAGUCACACACAGACCCAAAGCCAAAAUAGCCACUCUGCUAAAAGCAGAAGUGUUUCGGGUGCUAGAACUUUUCUGCUCAGCAUCCUGGAAAUUUAAAGUCAGGUAUUCCUAGAGUGAGGGUACCCAUCCCUUACUACAGGAGGGCUGCCUGGAUGAGGAAAAAAAGCAGCAGGCACAAGGAGGGGUUUUUACAGUGCCUGUGGAUGGGGGAGUGAGUAAGGGGAAAAAAACGGGUGUGAAUUAAUGCUUACUGCUCAAUUAUCAUUCAUCUUAACACUUAGAGAUGCUUAGAUAGUCAAUAGCUGGAGCAAGGAAGCGCUGGG
ensembl:lncRNA